CUCACGUACUGUGAAUGACGUGCUGUCGGGACUCAGCAUUCUGUUAGGUUCUCUUUAAAAUUAGUAAUUUUUGCCUGUUUGUUUCAUUCAGUGGUUAACUCGACUGGACGCAAACUGCGCUCCGGCCCCCGUGGUGGGUGGCCGGUGCCAUCUCUGUGCUGCUGGCCCAGCGGCUGAGACCCCGUCCUGCGCAAACAGGGCUCACAGACCCGCCAGAGGUGUGAGACAGACUUAUCACGGGGUAUCUGUGGCUCCCUCUAUGUGGCUCUCUCUGUUCUGGGAUUUCCCUCGUGGUCACCCCAAACUCCAUCCUCUGGUUCUUCGCACCUGUAAGACUGUGUUCCAUUGAGGCUUAGCCGCCCGGCAGGGCACAGAGCGGCCCUGCCCUCAGACCGCAGGAGCCCGCCCAGCUGUCCCCUUCUCCCCAGCACCCGCCCCCUCCAGUCUCUGUUUCUGGAUGCUCUCCAGUGCUGUGGGACGGCUGUCUGUGUCCAGCCACUGUAGUUGCUACCUGUGCAAGGUUUGGUCCAGUAGGAGCCACUUGGCCAUGACUGGAGAAGCCUGUGGGCAGCUGGGGCUGGAGGGGCGCAGACCCCACAGCCCGGCCGGGAUCGAGCCGGGGCAGGACGGGCGCGGUUUGUCUGGCUCUGGCUCGUCUGGUUUGGGGACCGGUGUCUUCCGAGAUUGAAGCGAGAGCCCAUAGGUCUUAGCCUCCUGCCCAAUACAGCACCAGGAUUUUACAAAUGUUUUGGACUGAGAGAGUGAAGUCUCUGGUUUUAUCACCUCUGCUCCCGCGCCUGCAAAAAGCUCUGCUGAGUCCUCUUCCCCUCGGCUGGUGGGUCCAAGCCUGGUCCUCAGCCGGGGGCCUAGACCGACAAGGGUCUCCAGGGGUCAAGAUGGCUGUGAGUCGUCGGCCCAUCCUGCCGGUCCUCCCGUCUCCGGGACUUUGGCCCGUUAAGUCCUGUGGCGCCCCAGCUCCGACUCUCUGUAGUAGGGCUUUUUGUAGUGCGCUUGGCCUCUUUCAGUCGCUGUCUUUGGCGCUGAUGGCCUUCCGUGUGGGACCCACCCUUUCCUCCUCAGAAGCAGACGUGCAGUAGCAACUCACACAUUUGUAUCCCUUCCUUCUGGUCUGGGCCUGACCGCUCCGCCUCGGUCCUGCAGUGGAGUGGUUCAGGUUGGAAAGAUCAAACGAGGGGCCAGGCAAAAAGGACCUGCUGAAAUCUCCUCUGUCCAGCUGGUACGUAAGCAGACAAACCAGCCUUUCAGACGUGAGCACCUCUGCCCAGCAGUGCCAAUCCUGGGACUUCAUCUCGAGACGAGGAUUUAGAAUGUGCUCAGAGGGCAAGCUUCCAGGAUGCUUCUGGCAGUACUAUUUUGAAUGUUCAAAGAAAACCCUUGGAACAAUAGGACACCAGCCCUGUGGAACCUUACGACCUCACAGGCCCUGUAAGUGGAAAAGCAUUGAUGCCUUAUCAGUACACAGAGGAUGCUGCGGCCAUCAAGUCAUCAGGUGCUCCCGCCACCCCCGGCAGCGAGCCGAGGGGGCUCAGAAUGCGGACAAGCAGGCAGCCCGGCCUCUGCAGCCCCCAGCCAUGCCCCCUCGCCCCCAGGGAGCUCAGGAUGUGGAGGAACAGGACACGGGCCCUGGACCGCUAGGUGCACAUCAGAGGAAUUGUUUCAGUGAGCCCAGACCUUUGCACCUUCUCAUACACAGAAAAGCGCUAAAUUUCCUAACUUGAAAUACCUGGUUUUCUUUAAUUAACGGUAAUCCUUUGAUGUUCUGACUACCUGUCUUUGUGACAAAAACCCCUAAACAUCCUGGCCCUCCCGUCCCCCCAGCAGAGCAGUCUCUCGGGGCGGAGGGGGUGGUCUGAGCCGCUGCCUCCCGGCGCCAGUCCUCAGACAGCCCGCUGAGUGAAAGUAACUCGGCUCACAGGCCGUGCACCAUUUCAGCUGACAGCCCCACCUCCACGUACAGCCACAGCGGGUGUCUUUCCCACACCAAGCAAUUCUCCCACGCCAGCUGUUGUCCCACAGCUCAGCUCAGUUCCGCUACUACCUGGAAGCAGCAUCAGACCCUACAGGUUAAGGGCUCAGCCCCACGGGACUGCCUUCUUCCCACUCUCCCAACCCCAGUCGCAAGUCCAAGUUGCCACUUGUGCCUCUGACUGAGUGGCUAGGGCAGAGGUUCCAACGGCCCCCUCUUUGGGUCCCAUGGACUUGCUAGAGCGGCUCAAGGAGCUCGCAGAGACAGCUGACUUGCUAAAUUACCUGUGUGUUGUAACAGGACAGACUCAGGAACAGCCGAAUGGAAGGGACACACGGGACAAGGUGCGGGGAAGGCGCGGGGCGCUUCCAAGCGCCCCGUGCGUGGACCGCUCUCCCCGAAUCUCCACGGGCUCACCAGCCCAGAAGCUCUCUGAACCUCGUCCUUUCCGGCUCUGACGGGAGUUUCAGUACGCAGGUGCCGUUAGUUAAAUCAUUGGCCUUUGAUGCCUGACUCAACCCCCAGCCCCUCUCCCCUCCCCAGGGUCUGGGGUAGGGGGACGGAAGUCCCAGCCAUGUAACCAUGGGGCUGGUUCUCCUGGCCACCAGCCCCCACCCUUAGGUGCUCCCAAAAGUCGCGUCAGUCACAGAACAGAAGACCCCGUGCCCGCUCUCUCCACCUGGGAAACGCCAGGGCUCUGUAGGAGCCUUGUGCCAGCAGUGGGGUGAAGGCUGAACACAGACGUCUUCCUUUUACACGCCUCAGUCUCCCGGGGAGGAUCUGAGGAGAACCGCCAGCAGGUGCGCCCCUUCAAGCCCGGAACCAGAACAUGGGUCUCACCCAGGGGCGCAGCCCCAGUGUAGCAGCAAGAAUGAGCCUGCCUCCACGUUAGAUCUGCUCCUUUGGCUCGAACCCCCUGCUCUGCUUCCUGUGCUCAGUCAGACUGGUUUUGCACCUCUUGUGAAAGAAUAUUGCCUGGAGCCUGAAGUAGACCGGACAGCCCAUUCUCAAGGCUCUGACUUCUAAGAGUAUAACCCUUUCCAUUCAUAUAAAGACAGCAAGUUGCAGAAGAGAAAGUAACAUUUGUUUUGUUGGAGGUUUGCAGGGACACCGUGACCUGACCCACGUGGACAGCUACAAGAACAAAGGGUUCCAAGAACAGAGGAUUCAGACACCAAGAAGUUUGCAAUAAACAAGCACAUCUCCUCCCCCUUUUAGUAUAAAAGGAGCCUGAUUUCUAACUCAGGGCAGAUGGUUCUCUGGGACAUGAGUCUCCCAUCUUCUCGCUCUGCCAGCUUUCCACAUAAAGUCGCUAUUCCUUUGCCUCGACACCUCGCCUCCCGAUUUACUGGCCUGUCGCGCAGGGAGCAGAACGAGUCUGGACUCGGUAACUCCAGGAAGGGACGCAGCCGCCCAGCUCUAGCCAGCGUGUCAGGCACUGCUGUUGGAGGAGACGGACCAGGCAGGUAAAACAAGCAUGAGGCAAAAUGAAGCCAACGGGGUAGAUCUAUUUCAGUAGCUAAAGGAGGAGUAUCCUAACAAGAAGCAAACACAAAAUGAUGAAAGAAAGGACCAGGUGGAAACGUUAGGUUUGAUGACCAUGACUGUCGAAAUAAACCAUACGACAGACGAGCAGAGCAGGGGACGGGGCAGUGCGCGCCCGGGCAGGGGCACAGGUGAGAGAGCGUCCGAGAGGCAGCAGGAAACCACGGUGAGACGAGAUGGAAAAUGUCCCCAGCAGCUGAGGGGCACAGGGGACACAAGCAGAGGUGUGACCCUGGGCCACAGGGGUCCCGGAGAGGAGAGGAGGGGAAGCGCUGGAAAAGUAAGGGAGGGAUGUUCUCAGAGUCCGUGUGGGGAGAAUUCACGGGCUCAGAUGCCAGUGGGAGAGGUGAGGGCAGGCAGGCACGUUUUUGUUUCCAAAUAUUGGAGACAAAAAGACAAUUCUAGAAGUUUCCAAAAAAAGAAGAGGAUUUCCCCAUCAAAGGGCAAAAAUCAGGUUUGUACCUCGUGUCUUAACAGUAAGACUGGCCGUGGGAAGGAGAAAUACUCAUCUUUACGAGUAUUUACGGAGUCGAAGGGAAGUGCGUGAACCUCAGAGUGCGUGUCUGGUCAAACCAGGGGGUGCAGGGGCAAGGGAAACGCCCCGAGGACAGGACGAGGCGUCCCUGGCGUCUGCCCGCAAGGCCCCCAGGGUGAAACUGGGGGAGUACCGGGGCGGAGGACCAAGGAAUCUGGGAGGGAGGAUGUGGCCCCACAAGGCAGUGUGAAGGAGGGGGGCCAGCGCCCUGGCGCAGAUCCCGGGCGUCUGAGAACAUUUAGGACCAAAGGAAAAGGAGACGUGUAUUCUGAUGAAGGAAACGCCCACCCUGUGCUGACCCCCUGUGUUCCUGCUGGUCUGUUUGUUUGUUUGUUUUGGAAACCUUGAAGGAAUGUAUCCUAGACUUGCUAAUCUUCCUUUGCUCUGACAGGACGAAAAACUGCUGGAAACCACGUUUCUCUGGAGCAGGUUCGCAGCGUCAUCUGGGAAGUGGGCUUCUGGGCUAGUCCUCAGUUCAGUUCAAAUAAAACUCUUUUCUUUU